GAUGAACGCUGGCGGCGCGCCUAAUACAUGCAAGUCGAGCGAAUGGAUUAAGAGCUUGCUCUUAUGAAGUUAGCGGCGGACGGGUGAGUAACACGUGGGUAACCUGCCCAUAAGACUGGGAUAACUCCGGGAAACCGGGGCUAAUACCGGAUAACAUUUUGAACCGCAUGGUUCGAAAUUGAAAGGCGGCUUCGGCUGUCACUGAUGGCUGGACCCGCGUCGCAUUAGCUAGUUGGUGAGGUAACGGCUAAACAAGGCAACGAUGCGUAGCCGACCUGAGAGGGUGAUCGGCCACACUGGGACUGAGACACGGCCCAGACUCCUACGGGAGGAAGCAGUAGGGAAUCUUCCGCAAUGGACGAAAGUCUGACGGAGCAACGCCGCGUGAGUGAUGAAGGCUUUCGGGUCGUAAAACUCUGUUGAUAGGGAAGAACAAGUGCUAGUUGAAUAAGCUGGCACCUUGACGGCACCUAACCAGAAAGCCACGGCUAACUACGUGCCAGCCGCCGCCGUAA
rnacentral:rRNA from 1 species